UUUUCCAUAAAAAUAAAGAUAAAAUCAACCGAAAUCCAAUACCUUCCACCUCAAGCUUUCACGUCGGGUUCACUACUUAUGUCGUACUACGUGCUUUCCUGCUCGAGAACGCGCCGGGCGUCUGGCUGUAGAAGGUAGUAUGGAGAUUCGCCGAUAGUCAAGCAGUCUAUUAGUUUUUGACUGCUGGAAUAUAAACGACUGCAA
rnacentral:lncRNA from 1 species